UUUGAAUUGUUGGUGUUAAAGGAAGAAAUAUGAGGGGUGCCAUUAGGAACACGGACAUAGGUGGUGCAUGGCUGUGGUUAGCUCAUGUCGUAAGGUGUUGGAUUAAGUCUCGCAACGAGCAAAAUCCUCGCGUUUAGUUGCCACUAUGAGUUUGGAACCCUGAACAGACUGCCACAACAGCGGACAUCCACAAGGGGUUGACUUCACUAGAGAAUGUGCCGAAAG
rnacentral:ncRNA from 1 species